rnacentral:rRNA from 1 species
UACGAAGGGGGCUAGCGUUGCUCGGAAUCACUGGGCUUAAAGCGCGUGUAGGCGGGUCGCCACGUCGGGCGCUGAAAUCCCCCGGCUCAACCCGGGAACUGCGUCCGAUACUGGCAGGCUUGAAUCCGGGAGAGGGAUGCGGAAUUCCAGGUGUAGCGGUGAAAUGCGUAGAUAUCUGGAGGAACACCGGUGGCGAAGGCGGCUCUCUGGACCGAGACUGACGCUGAAGAGCGAAAGCAUGGGUAGCGAACAGG